AACAUCGCGCACCUGCGGGAACCUGCGGAGGGAUCAUUACCGAGUUUACAACUCCCAAACCCCUGUGAACAUACCACUUGUUGCCUCGGCGGAUCAGCCCGCUCCCGGUAAAACGGGACGGCCCGCCAGAGGACCCCUAAACUCUGUUUCUAUAUGUAACUUCUGAGUAAAACCAUAAAUAAAUCAAAACUUUUAACAAUGGAUCU
rnacentral:misc_RNA from 1 species